GGAGGAGGCUGGACGGGAAAGAGGGCAGCAGAAUCGCAGAGAAGCCCUCCCUGGUGCCCCAGACCCCCAGGACAGACGCCUCCUCCAGCGGCAAGUGCUCCCUGCACAGCUCAGCUCUUACCAGCCUCCUGUCUCCAGCUGUCCCUGGUGCCCCAGCCUUCCCUCUAGCUCUCUCCAGAGGUGAGCCCGCUCCUCUGAAGAGCUGGACCCCUGGGGAGCAGUGACAUGGAGGGAACCCCUUCUGUCUGCUCUGUGUCCCCAGCUUUCUUAUUGCUCCUGCUGUUCCGAUGCCCCCGUGUGAAAGCUGGUGCAGGGAUGGCUAUCUCCCAACGUAGAGCUACAGGAUGAGGAUGCUGGGUGAGCAGCAGUGAGAAGACAUAAGGGCUGCCUCUGGAUGUGGACCUGACUGCAGCCUGGGAUGUCUGUGGGAGGACUGGGGGCCUACAGGUGGGAACAGAGAGAGUUUCGUAAGAAAGUAAUGGCUGAAAUUCUGAGAGGCACCUAGGUGACCAAGAAGAGAAGGAAUGUCUUUUGUAACACGGAACAGCCUGUGUAAGAGCUCAGAGACGCCACAGUGGGGUCAUUUGGGGCCAAGGAGAGCAGUGAAGGAUGGAGCUGCAGACAGGCAGGUAAGGACCAGAGCACCAAAAGCCCUGGAGCUCAGGAUGACGGACUCUAGGAGUGCUAGGGGCCCCCAGAGGGAUAAAUGCACAAGAGGGGCAGGCAGGACGGGCAGGAGGAGAAAACCAGGCAGCUGGGAGGCUGUGCCAACGGCUCAGGUAGGAGAGCUUGAGGCCAAAGCUGGAGCCGAGGCUGUGGGAGGCAGCAGGUAACAGUUGCAGGAUCUGAGCCCGGCCCUGUUAGUGCCCAGGCAGGCUCCCAUGCUUCUCAGCCCUGCUCUUCCAGGGCCAGGACCUGGCCGGCAGUCACCUCUUGCAAAUUUCGUCUGCAGCCUCCUGGCUAAAGAGCUGCUGUUGGAGGACGUUGUUGAGAGCGUGGACGGCGCACAGCUCUAGCCGCUGCCGCUCGUGGUACACUGACGGUGGGCUCGGCCGCGCUUCCGGGGCCUGAGACAUGCCCUCCUCGGCUCCUGCUGGGGGUGGUACAAGCAGACAGGGUUAGGAACCCAGGGUCACGGUCAUCUGGGUCUCCAGACUCCGGUGUCCCUGGGCAACAGCCACUGAGAUAGGCACUGGGGCCAGCUUGGGAGGAUACGACCCUGCGACCUAGGCUGUCUCCGGAGCAUAGAGGCAUCUUCAAGCACUAGUCCCAGGGGGAAAAGGCUCUUUUCUGCCCACUUGGCAAUAGAGACCCACCCCCAUUACAUGUCUCUAAGCAAAAAGGUCCGGAUCACUGUAACCUAGCAACGAAGUAUCGUCCCUUCUGUCCCUAGGAAACAAUACCUUUUUGGUUCCCAAGCAACAGGGUACACCCCACCCCCAUGGUAACCCGGUCCGAUUUCUGAUCACCUAGCAAUGGAGGACUCCUCCUUCCCGGUCUCCGGGUAACAGGGUCUCUUCUGGUCGCCUAGCAACGAAAGACUACCCCUCGUCAAUAACCAGGGCUCUCUCCUCCCGUCUCCUGGCAACAAGGCCCUCUCCCAGUCUCUAAGCAACAGGAGCCCCUGCUCUUCCUGUCACCUGGCAACCAGGCACGCUCCCACCCGCCUCCGCACGGCCGCUCGCCUGGCCCUCACCCCGUCGGCCUCUCUGCUCGCUGGGACCGGCCGCUUUCUCAUUCCCUGGGCAGCGGCCGGGUGGUACCACGCUGACUGGGCAGGCGGGACGGACUACAGCUCCCGACAGCCUGAGCGCCCCGGACUGCGAUUCCCGAAGGCCUACGGGACGCCUAAAUAGGCCUCGCAGUUCGGAAGUUCGCCGGGGACGCUCUGCAGCACGGAACUACAACUCCCGUCGGACCACACAGCCAGUUUUCAAGCACCCCCAGGGCUCACUACUACCUAGAGGUUUCUGGGAAAUGUAGUAGCUUGAACUCUC